rnacentral:rRNA from 1 species
GUCCAGACUCCUACGGGAGGCAGCAGUGAGGAAUAUUGGUCAAUGGGCGGAAGCCUGAACCAGCCAAGUCGCGUGAGGGAAGAAGGCCCUGCGGGUCGCAGACCUCUUUGGACGGGGAGCAAGGCCGCCGACGUGUCGGCGGAAGGAGAGUACCCGUAGAACAAGCAUCGGCUAACUCCGUGCCAGCAGCCGCGGUAAUACGUAGGGGGCAAGCGUUAUCCGGAUUUACUGGGUGUAAAGGGAGCGUAGGCGGCAAGGUAAGCCAGAAGUGAAAGCCCGCGGCUCAACUGCGGGACUGCUUUUGGAACUAUCUAGCUAGAUUGCAGGAGAGGUAAGUGGAAUUCCUAGUGUAGCGGUGAAAUGCGUAGAUAUUAGGAGGAACACCAGUGGCGAAGGCGGCUUACUGGACUGUAAAUGACGCUGAGGCUCGAAAGCGUGGGGAGCAAACAGGAUUAGAUACCCUUGUA